GAUGAAGAACGUAGUGAAAUGCGAUAAGUAGUGUGAAUUGCAGAAUUCAGUGAAUCAUCGAAUCUUUGAACGCACAUUGCGCCCUUUGGUAUUCCAAAGGGCAUGCCUGUUCGAGCGUCAUUUGUACCCUCAAGCUUUGCUUGGUGUUGGGCGUCUUGUCUCUAGCUUUGCUGGAGACUCGCCUUAAAGUAAUUGGCAGCCGGCCUACUGGUUUCGGAGCGCAGCACAAGUCGCACUCUCUAUCAGCAAAGGUCUAGCAUCCAUUAAGCCUUUUUUUCAACUUUUGACCUCGGAUCAGGUAGGGAUACCCGCUGAACUUAAGCAUAUCAAAAGCGGAGGA
rnacentral:misc_RNA from 1 species